UAAUCCUUUAAGUGUAGUCCCGUGAGGCUAAGAAGGAAACAUGCAGAACAAUAUCUAGGUGCGCUUAGAAAAAAUCUGUGUGAAAUGAAUAGUAUCUUUGUAUAGAUAAAUUCAAUCCUCCUAUCCGAACGCGGGUGGGAGGAUUUUUUGU
rfam:Enterococcus sp. 4G2_DIV0659 scaffold00001, whole genome shotgun sequence.